UUUGAAACUCUCAUAGCUAUCAGAAUAUAUUAUGUGUUGACUCACUCUAUAAUGACUUACAUUUCCUGACUGUAUUAAUCAUCCACCAAUCGGGAGACUUUCAAAGUUAGGGACCAGUAUUGUUUGUGUUUGUUUGUGUGUUGUGUUUCUGUGCUGGGCCAGUCUGGUAGAGGUUAGCAAGAAAUGCAGUCGCUGGUGUUCAGAGUGUUCAACAUGGUGGAGGAGGCCAAGAAUGAGGAGCUUCAGAGGUGCAGAGAUGGGACCACUCAUAUCUGAGAAGUUUGCAGAGGAGACAUCUGCAAAGCCGAUUAGUCACAGACAAUAAGCUGGCGUGAAUCCUCGAGUCGUGUCUUGCCGACAAACACACACGCCAUCCUGAUGCCUGACAGAUCUGCACGAUGCUCAGCCCACAAACACUACAAACAGCACACACGCUUCUCAGUGGUGGAGUAUCAGAGGGCAGAGAGGCAGCCAGAGGGAAUAAAACAGCUCAGGGAGAGAUGGGGAAAGAUGUAACACGAUGAGCAACACACAGAAAAAGCAUUCAGAAAACACACUUGGACCAGGACAUCAUGUUGAAAGUUUAAUGGAGAUGGUGUUACAAAGUUUGGAAAGUAUCAACCAAACAAACAUGGAAAGACCACCAAAUAAGAUUGACAGGUUGAGAUGAAAUGGAGAAUACAUUGAGAAGAACAAGAGAAAGUCUCUCCUUAAACUAGCUAUCAGUGUUGAAUGUUUACUAGGUUGCCACAGAGAUCCAUUUACUUCCAAACCUCUGAGAUUGGUUUGACUGAUUAAGUUUUUGGAAUGCAAAACCUGAGCCUUGAUUCAAGAUUGAAGAUUCAAUACUUUAUUGCCAUACAAAGUGCAAGUUGCUAGGGAUUUGCUUCAGUGUGCUCAUGAAGACAAAGACAUCACCAUAGACACACAGAAAAAGACAUAGAACACAAAUAUACAUACGGAGUCCCAUCCAGGAUCACUGUUGACAUUGGCAGAUAAAAGAGGGGGACACUUCUCACAACAUACCUGGAUGACAGUC